rnacentral:rRNA from 1 species
UACGGAGGAGGCAAGCGUUGUCCGGAAUUAUUGGGCGUAAAGCGUCCGUAGGUGGCUCUUCAAGUCUGCUGUCAAAGAGUGGGGCUUAACCCUGCAAAGGCAGUGGAAACUGAAAGGCUAGAGAGCCGUAGGGGUAGAGGGAAUUCCCGGUGUAGCGGUGAAAUGCGUAGAGAUCGGGAAGAACAUCGGUGGCGAAAGCGCUCUACUGGACGGUAUCUGACACUGAGGGACGAAAGCUAGGGGAGCGAAUGGG